GGGCCCGCACAAGCGGUGGAGUAUGUGGUUUAAUUCGAUGCAACGCGAAGAACCUUACCAGGGUUUGACAUCCUGCGAAUUUCUGGGAAACCGGAAAGUGCCUUCGGGAGCGCAGUGACAGGUGGUGCAUGGCUGUCGUCAGCUCGUGUCGUGAGAUGUUCCGUUAAGUCGGAUAACGAGCGCAACCCUUACCCUUAUUUGCCAGCGAUUCGGUCGGGAACUAUAAGGGGACUGCCGGUGAUAAACCGGAGGAAGGUGAGGACGACGUCAAGUCAUCAUGGCCCUUACGAGUAGGGCUACACACGUGCUACAAUGCUACGGACAAAGGGCAGCAAGUUCGCGAGGACAAGCAAAUCCCAUAAACCGUGGCUCAGUUCAGAUCGUAGGCUGCAACUCGCCUACGUGAAGGCGGAAUCGCUAGUAAUCG
rnacentral:rRNA from 1 species